rnacentral:rRNA from 1 species
UACGGAGGGUGCGAGCGUUGUCCGGAAUCACUGGGCGUAAAGGGCGCGUAGGCGGCUUUAUAAGUCGGGGGUGAAAGCCUGUGGCUCAACCACAGAAUUGCCUUCGAUACUGUAGAGCUUGAGACCGGAAGAGGUAAGUGGAACUGCGAGUGUAGAGGUGAAAUUCGUAGAUAUUCGCAAGAACACCAGUGGCGAAGGCGGCUCACUGGCCCGAUACUGACGCUGAGGUGCGAAAGCGUGGGGAGCAAACAGG